UACGGAGGAUCCAAGCGUUAUCCGGAUUUAUUGGGUUUAAAGGGUGCGUAGGCGGAUUGAUAAGUUAGAGGUGAAAUGUCCGAGCUCAACUCGGGAACUGCCUCUAAUACUGUUGACCUAGAGAGUAGAUGCGGUAGGCGGAAUGUAUGGUGUAGCGGUGAAAUGCUUAGAGAUCAUACAGAACACCGAUUGCGAAGGCAGCUUACCAAUCUAUAUCUGACGUUGAGGCACGAAAGCGUGGGGAGCAAACAGG
rnacentral:rRNA from 1 species